rnacentral:lncRNA from 1 species
GGAAGGACUAAAGCCUAACACGCGCGGAGACAUAGGGACUAAAACUGGCAAUAUACCAGCUCCCAAGGCGCAGCUUUUAAGUGCGGGCCAAGUUGUAAACGCACACAAAUUUCCGGGAUAAUUUUAAAAAACAAUGAAAUACAUAUAUGGGCUGAUUAAAGCGCGGCACAAAAGGGGGAAGGGUUCAUUUCGAAAUUAACCCAUUUUAUGCGCUAAGGCACGGGUCGGGUCUGGAAGCGGUUUGGCACGCGGACCCCCCCUUUUGGAACGGCGCCGUUUCAUCUCUUUCUCAACAACAAAAGGAGUGGCAAUCAGCCAUCCUAACCCUAGCCCCCAUUUUCUUUGUUGCCUAGUUAACCCUAAAACACUUCCCUCGACACUAACGCGCCACCGCGAACUGCGAUCUGCACGUUCAAACUCCAAGGGAGUGGUUUUCGGCCUUGAGAUCCCCUUUAGAUUCCGAUUUCAACGGAAUGAAGGGGAAACGAUGGCCAACUCGCGAGGUAACCUUCUCUUUCGCUUUCUUUUUUCUGUUUUUAUGAUUGAUUUCAAAAUAAAAAAGAAAAUAGAGGCGUAAAAAUAAAAAAGGGAACAACCUCUGAAGAAUAUUCAACUUCUCUGUAUUUGAUUGCUAUUCUUUUUUGUAUAUUACCCGUGUGUAAAAAAAGGAGUUUUUACAAUCAGAAACCAUAGGCUUUAUAGCCGAAUCAUAAAGAAAAAAAAAACAAUUUUUCUUUUUGUUGUUUUUGUUGCUGCUGUGUGGUCGUUUGUUUGCAGGUACGGAGUACGGGCGUGCGCUGGCCCUUGGCGUGAGGCGUACGGGGCUGUGUUGGCGCGGGUACGGGGGCCGUGCUGGAGGGUUGCGGCUACUAGGGAAACCCUAGGUUUCUGUUUAGCUGAAGUUGUUUUAGUUUUGGGCCGUUUGGGCGACGGGAUUUUGGGCUAGGGUUUUAGCUAAUGGAUUUUAAUUGGGUCUUGGGUUAUGUAUUUAAUUUUAGGUUUAGGAUUGUAAAAUGGGCUGAUGGACUGUUAAUAAAUAAUAUUUAUUGGAUUUUUAUUAUUAUUUGGUUUGGAGUUAAUGGGCCGGGCAAAUUGGGUUAUCUACAAUUUAAAUGGUUAAAUAUGCAUAUCAAAAACAAAAUUAAAAAAUACUUUCGAAAAAUCAAUUGAAGGAGUAAGAUGAGUUGGUAGCAAAAAGGAGGUAAUAGCGUUUUUUUGGCACUCAAUCUAGCUUGAUGGUUUGGUUUACUUGGUUCAAAGUAGCCGAAUGCCACAUGUCUUAGGCUCGAGGGUCAUGAGAAUGAAACAAGAAAAAAAUAGUGUUUUUUUAAAUAUUUAAUACGCUAAUACUUGAAUCAGAAUAAAAUAGGAUUAAUUUUAUCUUUGAUAUUUUUUAAACUUUUCACCCACUUUAGUAUGGAAAUCACGUCAUCAUAUUUAUGGAAUAGCAAUUCUCAAAGGGA